AUUGAACGCUGGCGGCAUGCUUUACACAUGCAAGUCGAACGGCAGCACGAGUGCUUGCACUUGGUGGCGAGUGGCGAACGGGUGAGUAAUACAUCGGAACGUGUCCUAAAGUGGGGGAUAACGCAUCGAAAGAUGUGCUAAUACCGCAUAAUCUCUAAGGAGAAAAGUAGGGGAUCGAAAGACCUUAUGCUUUUGGAGCGGCCGAUGUCUGAUUAGCUAGUUGGUGGGGUAAUGGCCUACCAAGGCGACGAUCAGUAGCUGGUCUGAGAGGAUGGCCAGCCACACUGGGACUGAGACACGGCCCAGACUCCUACGGGAGGCAGCAGUGGGGAAUUUUGGACAAUGGGCGCAAGCCUGAUCCAGCAAUGCCGCGUGAGUGAAGAA
rnacentral:rRNA from 1 species